rnacentral:rRNA from 1 species
AUUGAACGCUGGCGGCAGGCCUAACACAUGCCAGUCGAACGGUAACAGGAAGCAGCUUGCUGCUUUGCUGACGAGUGGCGGACGGGUGAGUAAUGUCUGGGAAACUGCCCGAUGGAGGGGGAUAACUACUGGAAACGGUAGCUAAUACCGCAUAACGUCGCAAGACCAAAGAGGGGGACCUUAGGGCCUCUUGCCAUCGGAUGUGCCCAGAUGGGAUUAGCUAGUAGGUGGGGUAACGGCUCACCUAGGCGACGAUCCCUAGCUGGUCUGAGAGGAUGACCGGCCACACGGGAACUGAGACACGGUCCAGACUCCUACGGGAGGCAGCAGUGGGGAAUAUUGCACAAUGGGCGCAAGCCUGAUGCAACCAUGCCGCGUGUAUGGAGAAGGCCUUCGGGUUGUAAAGUACUUUCAGCGGGGAGGAAGGGAGUAAAGUUAAUACCUUUGCUGAUUGACGUUACCCGCAGAAGAAGCACCGGCUAACUACGUG